rnacentral:rRNA from 1 species
GGGGUGCUCGAGUGGCGAACGGGUGAGUAACACGUGAGUAACCUGCCCUUGACUUUGGGAUAACUUCAGGAAACUGGGGCUAAUACCGGAUAGGAGCUCCUGCUGCAUGGUGGGGGUUGGAAAGUUUCGGAGGUUGGGGAUGGACUCGCGGCUUAUCAGCUUGUUGGUGGGGUAGUGGCUUACCAAGGCUUUGACGGGUAGCCGGCCUGAGAGGGUGACCGGCCACAUUGGGACUGAGAUACGGCCCAG